CCCUUUAUUCUGUACAGUUGGUCUAUUAUUCUCUAUUCUGUAAAUCCCACCCAGGCCCUCAUACAGAUUGCGGACUUCUGAUAAAUUGGCUUCUAACUUGAACGUUUGACAAUAAGGCCAUAAUAAUUGUACAAUAUUCACAUAGUAUAUAUUGCUUGCAAUAACUAGCAUUGGUAGAAUCUUUUCUCAAAGAUUUUCAGAAUCGUAAAGACAGUUGUCUUUGAUUAUACCAAAACGGAUGGUCUGGCUAGGGAUUUAUAGAAUAGGG
rnacentral:lncRNA from 1 species